UCAGGGCUUGCCUGUUGUUUGAUUUCCAGGUAUCAGAAAAACAGUGUUUGAAAGGACUUCUGAGCGUUGACUGGAAGAGAAGUGUGAGAUCAUCAAACACCAUGAUGAAACUCCUGCUGACAGUACUCUCUCUCCUCUUUGUGUCUGGCAUUGCUCCGGCUCCACCGAGCUGUGACACCUCCACUGUACCAGGCAGCUUGACAAAGACCUCAAACAGGACUCCCCUCGCCUCAGUCUAUUACAGGAACAGACUUCACCUUCCUUAUCACAGUAUUACACUGCCAGCAUUGUAUGAAGCUUGAUAACAAUGAGAUUGAAUAUUCUAGUCUGGAGGAUAAUAUUCAUUCAUUGGCAAAACACCUGUAAUCUAG